rnacentral:lncRNA from 1 species
CUCGUGAUCACCUCGAAGGUAGAUGCUGCAGCCCGAGGGAAGGACCGAGACUCUGGCCUACCCCCGAUGCACCGAUAGUAUAACGCGAUGGACAACGCUCAUAAACUGUGGGAUACCGGCUACGCCCCGAGAUGCAGCCGGCGGACAUCCCGCAAACCUGGCACCGGCGAGCGUACAGAAAUGCGGCACUCGCAACUGCGCCGGUCACUUGCAUAUUGGUUUUGAUCGCAGUCACAUCGAAGUGCUGUCGUCGAAAUUUCAGUGUGUACCUGUGGCCGCCCCUGCAGGAAAACGUUCCAUGGUCUUGUGGAAACACAUCUAGAACAUCUUGUACCCGCACGGACAAAAUUUACUGAAAGUAUGGGAAACAUGUGCAUCAUUUCGAAGCGCAGCGCCGGCAGGCGAACAAGGGCGCGCAGCGACAUAGAACAGUUGACACGCCGCGGACAACUGAGUGAAGUGCUGGGUGUAAAAACUUGAAGACCACAUCAAAUAUGUCCCUUUAACCGUACAGUGAAUGUAUCAAGAACUGCUCGUUUUCCACGCAAUAAAGAUAGCGAGUUUGUUCAAUCAUGCGCGAGGAAGGCGUCCCAGUGACGACGAA